rnacentral:rRNA from 1 species
GACGAACGCUGGCGGCGUGCUUAACACAUGCAAGUCGAACGGAAAGGCCCUGCUUUUGUGGGGUGCUCGAGUGGCGAACGGGUGAGUAACACGUGAGUAACCUGCCCUUGACUUUGGGAUAACUUCAGGAAACUGGGGCUAAUACCGGAUAGGAGCUCCUGCUGCAUGGUGGGGGUUGGAAAGUUUCGGCGGUUGGGGAUGGACUCGCGGCUUAUCAGCUUGUUGGUGGGGUAGUGGCUUACCAAGGCUUUGACGAGUAGCCGGCCUGAGAGGGUGACCGGCCACAUUGGGACUGAGAGACGGCCCAGACUCCUACGGGAGGCAGCAGUGGGGAAUAUUGCACAAUGGGCGGAAGCCUGAUGCAGCAACGCCGCGUGCGGGAUGACGGCCUUCGGGUUGUAAACCGCUUUCGCCUGUGACGAAGCGUGAGUGACGGUAAUGGGUAAAGAAGCACCGGCUAACUACGUG